UGGGGAAUAUUGUACAAUGGGCGAAAGCCUGAUCCAGCCAUGCCGCGUGAGUGAUGACGGCCUUAGGGUUGUAAAGCUCUUUCGCCGGUGAAGAUAAUGACGGUAACCGGUAAAGAAGCCCCGGCUAACUUCGUGCCAGGACCCGCGGAAAUACGAAAGGGGCUAGCGUUGUUCGGAAUUACUGGGCGUAAAGCGCACGUAGGCGGACCAUUAAGUCAGGGGUGAAAUCCCGGGGCUCAACCUCGGAAUUGCCUUUGAUACUGGUGGUCUUGAGUCCGAGAGAGGUGAGUGGAACUCCGAGUGUAGAGGUGAAAUUCGUAGAUAUUCGGAAGAACACCAGUGGCGAAGGCGGCUCACUGGCUCGGUACUGACGCUGAGGUGCGAAAGCGUGGGGAGCGAACAGGAUUAGAUACCCCCGUAGUCC
rnacentral:rRNA from 1 species